CCACCUGAGCUCAGAGAAAAUAACUGAGGAGUCUGUAUGUUUGUUCGGAGUCUGACAGCAGGGUUUUAAACACGUGGUCUCCUCAUGUAACUUCACAGACUUUCUACUGGCAGAAAAAAGGAUGUGAAAUAUUUUCAGAAUGCUGAGAAAAUCGAUGACAAAAUGACAGCAUUUCUAUGGAGUGAUGGGAUGCAACUGGUGGGUUUUGUCCUCUCACAAUAAUCAUAUUGAGAACUGUCAAUCCAAAAGUUAUGGCAACGUCUCGGGAAGUCCCACUUACAGUAGUGUUCAGAAUAAUAGUAGUGCUAUGUGAAAUAAAAAGAUUAAUCCAGGUUUUGAGUAUAUUUCUUAUUGUUAUAUGUAGACUGCGAUCAGAUGAUGUAAAAAACUGGACAUAGAUCGCCGGCAGAUGUGCGUCCCAUCUCGAUGUCGCCAAGAGUGUUUUGAACUGGGCAACACACUCAGGACAGCCGAGCGAAUGGGACCAAAUAUAUAGAUGCUCACAGACUGCCGUCCAUUGGUCUUCAGACUGCACCUCAAUACUUCUUGACUGUGGCCGGAUGUGUCACUCUGACGCAAUUUGGCCUCAACCGACAUACAGUAGUGUUCAGAAUAAUAGUAGUGCCAUGUGACUAAAACGAUUAAUCCAGGUUUUGAGUAUAUUUCUUAUUAUUACAUGGGAAACAAGGUACCAGUAGAUUCA